GUGGGCAAUCACAUGCAUCGCAUAGGCCUGUAGGCUUGUGGUCUUCUGUUCAGAGAACAGUGAACACACAGGAAUAGCUUGUGUGAAAGAUGUUCCUAUGGCAAGUAUGAAAGAAUUUAGUUAGUAGCUAUGGUUUGGUGUGACUGCAGACUGAGCCAAAAUACUCAUGUCUCUAUUUCUCUGUACAACCAUGCAAUUGUGUACUAAAUAGUGUAUACCAAGCAACAUGUAUGCACAUCAAAGUAGGACAGCAGCUGAUUAUAGCUAAUUGACCUGAGAAUGAACCGACGCCCUAAAGCACUAUGUUGCUCUACAGGAAAACAACUGCCACCCCUGUCAGCUACAAUUACUCAAGAGUCAAGAGUCUAUUAUUGAUACUGAAAAUGGAAAUUAUAUGACAAGAAAAAUGCAAAACCUAGAGUUGUCGUUCUAACAUAACAGAUGCAUGCUCUGAACUAAUUCUUCUUGCCGCUCGGCUACUCCCGAUCAGUUUUUUUUCAGGCUAUGAACAAGAGCUAUCUGAUGUGCUGCCGAUUUGAAAGAGGCCUAAGGUUGUGGGUACACCUUUGAGUGGAUCAGGUUUUGGAGAAGAAAAGCUUCAGGUAAAGUUUUUUCCUGGGUUCUGCUUGAUCGAGAUAGAGGGUGGUAGCAGUAAGCAGUGUGCUACUGGAUAAGAACAGAGCCAAGCAAAGAGCAAGAUUGCUUCUUGCUGUGUGCGUUGCUGUGUACAGACUUGAUGGAUCAUUUAUGUGAACCACAGCCUCUCCAUACAAGUCAGCAUAUGUAAUGUAUGUUUAUUACUUUACAUUGCAGGAUUAUGGUAGCAAAUAAACAAAUGAUGUUAUGAUCUUGCAAAGCUAAAGCAUCUAUUGGUUAAGUACAAAGUGAUACACUAACUCAAGUGGUAGCAAAUAAUACCUGUGUUUUAGCAUUACUGGACAUGUUAGUUUUAGUUUAUUGGAGCAUUGUUAUAUGAAGACACUGACCUAAUAUGAAAAUGUAAACUGCUGCUUCUAAAAUUGCCUUUUCUUUUAGGAAGAACUAAGGUUUCAGAUUGUAAAUUGCUGCCUUUAGGAAGAACUAAAGUUUCAGAUUGUAAACUGUUGCCUUCUCAUGUGGAUCUACAGCACAUUGUAAGUGAGCAGGUUCAGCAACAAAUCGAGAAAAUGGAACACCAGCAAAGUGAGCUAGAAGACUUGAAGCUGAAGUUCCAGGAACCUGAAGCAGCAAGGGAGAAUCAAAGGGGAGAGACUGAAAGUUUGAAGAAGCAAGGGGAGAGACUUUUUGGCUGUGAGUUCGUAGAGUUGCCUUGGCUGUCCUGUUAUCGAGUGACUUGCCUUUUUUGUUUUUGGGUUAUUUAUGGAGUGACUUGACAAGUGAUGUUGGGCUGUAAUAUGCAUAUGAAUCUGUUGGUGUUUGGAUGAGUGAUAUCAGGCUGUAAUAAAUAUUCUGUAAAGUGACCUUGUGUUCUUAAUAAAUAUAUCAGUUUGAAUU